GACGAACGCUGGCGGCGUGCUUAACACAUGCCAGUCGAACGGAAAGGCCCUGCUUUUGUGGGGUGCUCGAGUGGCGAACGGGUGAGUAACACGUGAGUAACCUGCCCUUGACUUUGGGAUAACUUCAGGAUACUGGGGCUAAUACCGGAUAGGAGCUCCUGCUGCAUGGUGGGGGUUGGAAAGUUUCGGCGGUUGGGGAUGGACUCGCGGCUUAUCAGCUUGUUGGUGGGGUAGUGGCUUACCAAGGCUUUGACGGGUAGCCGGCCUGAGAGGGUGACCGGCCACAUUGGGACUGAGAUACGGCCCAGACUCCUACGGGAGGCAGCAGUGGGGAAUAUUGCACAAUGGGCGGAAGCCUGAUGCAGCAACGCCGCGUGCGGGAUGACGGCCUUCGGGUUGUAAACCGCUUUCGCCUGUGACGAAGCGUGAGUGACGGUAAUGGGUAAAGAAGCACCGGCUAACUACGUG
rnacentral:rRNA from 1 species